rnacentral:ncRNA from 1 species
AAGGUAGGGUGAUGUGGUUGCCCUUGGACAAAAAUUUUAAAUGCUAGUCCAGCCUUCACAGGUUGGGCGACACGCUCAAAUUGCGGGAAACUUCUAAAGCCUUCACUACCAAGCUGUGUUUCGAAAGAACAUGAUGACCAGAUUAAUUGCCUCGGGUAUGGUCAAAACGUGGAGGAUGCUACAAUGAACAAUCUGCAGCCAAGCCUCUAAGUUCAGCGCUUCAGUGCUGAAUAUGGCGAAGGUUCAGAGACUAAAUGGGUGUGGGUGUGUCACUUGGGAGAUUAAUUACCAAGUGACAAGCUUAAGAUAUCCAUGGAUAGUCCGGCCCCAGUAGAAAUGCUGGG